CCUACGGGAGGCAGCAGUGGGGAAUAUUGCACAAUGGGGGCAACCCUGAUGCAGCGACGCCGCGUGAGUGAUGAAGUACUUAGGUAUGUUAAGCUCUAUCUACAGGGGAGUAAAUGAAGGUACGUGAUUCAGAUGCCACGGAUAACUACGUGCCAGAAGCCGCGGUAAUACGGAGGGGGCCAGGGUUAUCCGGAUUUACUGGGUGUAAAGGGAGCGUAGACGGCAGCACAAGUCUGGAGUGAAAUGCCGGGGCUUAACCCCGGAACUGCUUUGGAAACUGUGCAGCUAGAGUGCAGGAGAGGUAAGUGGAAUUCGUAGUGUAGCGGUGAAAUGCGUAGAUAUUAGGAGGAACACCGGUGGCGAAGGCAGCUUACUGGACUGUAACUGACGUUGAGGCUCGAAAGCGUGGGGAGCAAACAGGAUUAGAUACCCCAGUAGUC
rnacentral:rRNA from 1 species